rnacentral:sRNA from 1 species
AAUACUCUAGUGAUACCUACCCCUUACUUUCAUCCUUCCCUCCAUUUUUUCCUUUCAUCUUAUAAUAGUUUUAAAUGACAAGUAAAUGAUUACUUUGUCAUGCAAAACAUAUAAAAUAAAAAUCUGAAGGAACUCCUUUGUGAACACUGGCUAAGAAUCUGUAGGAAGGAGAGAGCACACUGAGAUUUUCAUAUUUAUCAAAACGAGGCAAGCAUGAGACUGUUGAGAAACAUUUAUUUUAAACGGAUACCUUAUUUUUGUCUUGCAUUUCUUGAUUUAAAAGCUUCAUUACACUGACUGUCAGAAAGUCGGUUGGUGACAGUUCGGGAGGGAAUACCUGGACUGCGGAAAAUCUCCUCUCCUGGAUGCCAAGCUGCAGAGAAGUCAUUUAGUGCUUUAUAAUGUUUCUUCAGUGUGGUACGAUCUGUCAACCUUGUUGUAAAACUCAUCUUAAUGUUCACUUUAUAGAAGACACUAAUACCUUUCUGAAGGCCAUUGUUAGAAGAGGCAUUUAAAACAUUUUCCACCAUAAAGGCAGACAAUACGCAGUAUUAAACUUCAGACAUGAGCCCGCGACACAGCUUAGCUUCAGACACGGGCAGCAACAUAGCUUAGCUCUACAGCAGUUCCCCAGCAUGUGUGAAACCAGGGCCCAAUUCUGCAACCUCAAAAGCAGGCACUCAUUGGUAAGGAGGAAACUGAAGCUUUACAGAGCAUAAAAGAACGGGGUCAGGGCCGGAAUCUAAACCACAGUCUGAUAGGGCCAUUUCGUUAGGGUUCCAUCAGAAUUGCCUGUGUUCUUAAAGAGACCUCUCUACAGUACACCUCCCAAGUGCCAGACAGAUACUAUGGAAGAGGAGGAAGAAAACGGCAAGAGACGGAGGAUCAACAGAAUUGCCAAGAAACACCGCCUUCUUGAGGUGCGGGCGUUAUUGUAUUCACAAACACACAGCAGCUGUGGUUGCCUGGUUAAGACCUACCCGAGAUCAAGCCAGUCAGAAUUCAAGCACAGCUGGGUAGAGACUUCCCAGGUUCCAUGCCCUAAGGUCUAAUUUUAGCUGCGUUGUUAUUGGCAGUUGAAUGUGGCCUCUUUUAGUUUGCCUGCAUUGGAAUGAAUGGCUCCACUCUCCUGUACAUAUGCGCAGCCCUGAUUGGACCCCAUCCAUUAAAAGAGAGGCCGUGAAGCUAGGAAAGUGUUUGAUGUGGAGACACUGGGAGGGGUUGGAAGGGGUAGUGAGUCUUAUCCAAACCAUUGUGCACAUCGAUAAACUGCUCAAAGAACAUAGAAUAAUUGAAAACAAAACAAAAAACCCAAAAUGCUAAACUUGAAAAGCAAAGCUACUUCUGCCAGGAUCACCAGGCAGCCACAAGGGGGCAGGCAAAGCUAAUUUUGCAACGGUGCCUUCUGGACCCAGGCUGGAAGUCAGAUUCUGCAGACCUGAUCAGGAUUCAGAAACACACCGGAAAGUAAUGGAAAGUAACAAAAGCCUCAAUGCUCAAAACCAACUUCCCCUCAUGGCGAAAGUUCUUAAAAUAAGAGCAAGAGCGGCAAAGAUUGGCGAGAGCUUGCAGUUGAGCUCAAUUCGGUGGAAAACGCUGAACUGUUGGCCGUUCUUGUGUGGAUGUUGGGAGCAAAACAUCCCAGGGAAGUGUCCCAUGUGCCUGGAAAUCCCAUCUGAAAAGAAGAGGGUACGUAGACACUGACCUGACAGAAGUUUCACACUCAAGAAGGUGACCAAUGAGGACAGAACAGCACUUUACAUAACCAUAUGAAAGUCCCAUGCAGAAAUGUAGCCGGCUCUAAAAGGUCUCUCACAACACUAACUGCUCUGCUCCAUCACUUACCCCUCGCCACGAUGGAUGGAGCCUCCUCAAACUAUGAGCCAGAAUAAAUCUUUCUUCCCUUGAGCCAUUUCCGUCAGAUACAGCGUCACAACAACAAGAGAAACAUCCACGUUGAUUGGAGAAGACCUGAAGGCCAUCCCAGCAGCACAGCAUAGUGCUGCGUAUGAAGGCCUUAUGCUCUGACUGACGUCACCAAUACAGGAUCUCAGGGCAGUGCAUCCACGUGGGCCUGGGAAGGCAGUGCAAAUGGAGUCUAAGGAGAUCUUGUCAUCCAGUGUCACAAAUGUUGAAACACCUGUUUCAUUUUGUUUGUUUCUUUGUUUCCUGCUGCAUGGACACUGUUCCGAACCUCGGGCUACUCCUUUGGGACUGGGGAGCAUGAGAUGGGUCACAGGCGCAGGAAAUUCCACUAUGGCUGCAGUGGCACUGGAGAGAUGGCUCAGUGGUUAAGAGUGAUGCCCCCUUGCAACUCCCAUAGGAAGAACAACAAUA